rfam:Myotis brandtii contig293598, whole genome shotgun sequence.
GGCGGUUCUCAGGUGUCGCACCCCGGAAUUGGGCUCCCUCCUCUCUGGUUCCGGGUGCAUCACCCGAGAACCACA